rnacentral:tRNA from 1 species
GCCUGGGUGGCUCAGUCAGUUGAGCAUCUAACUUCGGCUCAGGUCAUGAUCUUGUGAUUCGUGGGUUCAAGCCCUACAUUGGGCU